UAGAGGCAGCGGAGACAGAAACAAAGCCAAGGCGGCGGAGGCGGGAGGCAGGAGUGGAGCCAGGGUGCA
rnacentral:sRNA from 1 species